rnacentral:rRNA from 1 species
AACGAACGCUGGCGGCAGGCUUAACACAUGCAAGUCGAACGCAUCCUUCGGGGUGAGUGGCAGACGGGUGAGUAACGCGUGGGAACGUGCCCUUCAGUUCGGGAUAACCCAGGGAAACUUGGGCUAAUACCGGAUACGUGCGAGAGCAGAAAGAUUUAUCGCUGAAGGAUCGGCCCGCGUCUGAUUAGCUAGUUGGUGGGGUAAUGGCCCACCAAGGCGACGAUCAGUAGCUGGUCUGAGAGGAUGAUCAGCCACAUUGGGACUGAGACACGGCCCAAACUCCUACGGGAGGCAGCAGUGGGGAAUAUUGGACAGUGGGCGCAAGCUUGAUCCGGCCAUGCCGCGUGAGUGAUGAAGGCCUUCGGGUUGUAAAGCUCUUUCGUCCGGGACGAUAAUGACGGUACCGGAAGAAGAAGCCCCGGCUAACUUCGUGCCAGCAGCCGCAGUAA